rnacentral:rRNA from 1 species
GACGAACGCUGGCGGCGUGCCUAAUACAUGCAAGUCGAACGCACAGUUUAUACCGUAGCUUGCUACACCAUAAACUGUGAGUUGCGAACGGGUGAGUUACGCGUAGGUAACCUGCCUGGUAGCGGGGGGUAACUAUUGGAAAUGCUAGCUAAUACCUCAUACUAUUUAUUAUUGCUUGGUAAUUGUUUGCAAGUUGCGAUUGAAUCGCUACUUAUUGGCCUUGCGUUGUAUUAGUUAGUAGCUGAGGUAACGGCGCACCUAGGCGAGGAUACAUAGCCGACCGGAGAGGGUGAGUGGCCACACUGGGAGUGAGACACGGCCCAGACGCCUACGGGAGGCAGCAGGAGGGAAACGUCGGCAAGGGACGGAAGUCUGACCGAGCAACGCCGCGGGAGUGAAGAAGGUUGUCGGGUCGUAAAGCUCGGUUGUAAGGGAAGAACGGGUGUGAGAGUGGAAAGUUCACACUGUGACGGUAACUUACCAGAAAGGGACGGCUAACUACGUG